UACGUAGGGUGCAAGCGUUAAUCGGAAUUACUGGGCGUAAAGCGUGCGCAGGCGGUGAUGUAAGACAGGUGUGAAAUCCCCGGGCUUAACCUGGGAACUGCAUUCGAGACUGCAUUGCUAGAGUAUGGGGAGAGGGAAGUGGAAUUUCAGGUGUAGCGGUGAAAUGCGUAGAUAUCUGAAGGAACAUCAGUGGCGAAAGCGACUUCCUGGACCAAUACUGACGCUCAAGUGCGAAAGCGUGGGGAGCAAACAGG
rnacentral:rRNA from 1 species